UUGUCCUCGUCUCGUGGCCAUCGUCGAACGCAGUCUCAUCCGUUCCAGUGUUCUCUGGAUUCCAAAGUGGAAGGAACUCCGACAAAAGUGUUGGCGGUCUCUUUGUGUUUCGUGAUAGAUUUGCAAAGGUGGAGAAGCGGAACAAAUAAGAACGAUAGAGUUCAUGGGAUAUUUGCAGGUAUCGGAGGACAGGGAACACGAAACAAGAAGAAGAGGCGAAAGAAGCUCCGUAAAUUUCGUGAACUUUCGUCUUUCGAAUCUCGAGCGUUAUCUUCGUGAAAGAUUAGAGUAACUCCGCGUCCCUCGACAGGUGACCGUAACGGGCGAAGGCUCUGCCAAGGUGUCUCUUAAUUCUUGCCAGCGUGGAUAUCACGGCGUUUCCGGUCGAUAAGGCAGCUUCCGGAAGGUGCGGCUACGAUGGUUCAUCGAACGACUUUCUUCUCGGUUCAUGGAAAGAAGCGAGAACGAACGAAAGAGGAAUUCUUCGUUUAAGUUCGACUAAAAAAAAGAGAGAGAAAAAAAACAGACGAAGCUUCCAUUCGAUAUAAUCGCUCGUUCCCCUUCCACGAACAAGAAAGUCGUCAGAUCUGUCCAUUCUGUCCAUACUGUUCCCAAAACGUUAAAAUCACUGGCACCGGUGGACCGUAGAAUGGAUUCUGAAUGGAAUCGUAUCGUGAUGUCUGAAUUGGCAAGAUGGCGAUGUCAGAACGUUUCAGGUGUGUUUUCUUCGCGAACCAGCGAUCAUCCGUGGCCCCGACUUAUUUUCUUCGAUGGAUUCCACUUUCCUAUCCCCGUAAGGGUGGUUCUCGGAAUCUAAGGGAUUUCGUGAAAAGUAUAUUUCUUCGAACAAUCGAAUCGAACCUAUGGAUUCGUUUCGACCACGCCACACGUCGAUGAAUAAAGGCAAUUCUUUCCAUUCUCGCGGAUACGUAACAAAGUGGUUACACGCAUCCGUUCUCGUAACAGAAUCGUCGACGCAUUAUCGCGAUCGAACAGUUGACGAGCUCGUCCACUUGGCCUAGUUCCGGGGUGGAGUAGUCCACACAUAGUAUCUUCCGUGGUUUCAACCCCGAAAUAUCUGCGGUCGUUUAUUGAAUAAUGAAUCAGGCUUGUUUCCAUCCUCGACGCAGUGUACCGAAUUAAAGCGGCGCCACGACGGGGCAGUGAAGAACUCGAACGGGGUCGAUGAAAAGGUUAACGUCGGGUUUAGGUCGAUCGUACGCCUUCUCUUUCCCUCCACUCGCCCCUCCCUCUCUUCCUCUAAUCGACUCCCCUCUAGGUUGCUUGGUUUCCCCAGUUUCGAUCAGAGUUUCUACUAGCGGCGACGUUCGAUCGGUGUCCGAAUGACGUACACGGAUAUGCUCGUAACUCACGUUCGACCCUAGUUUUUUGCCUAAACUCAAAUAAUCAAACGACACAAGUUGAAGCCAGCGAUUCACUUGGACAAUCGGUACCGGUUAAUGAGAAACGAGCCUAUGCUGGACGCGGACGGAAAUGAAACCGAUCAAAUCGGCG